rnacentral:rRNA from 1 species
UACGUAGGGUGCAAGCGUUAAUCGGAAUUACUGGGCGUAAAGCGUGCGCAGGCGGUGAUGUAAGACAGGUGUGAAAUCCCCGGGCUUAACCUGGGAACUGCAUUUGUGACUGCAUCGCUGGAGUGCGGCAGAGGGGGAUGGAAUUCCGCGUGUAGCAGUGAAAUGCGUAGAGAUCCGGAAGAACACCGGUGGCGAAGGCGGCCUGCUGGGCUAUGGCUGACACUGAGGCGCGACAGCGUGGGGAGCAAACAGG